rnacentral:rRNA from 1 species
GUCGAGCGGACUUGAUGGGAGCUUGCUCCUUAUCAAGUUAGCGGCGGACGGGUGAGUAACACGUGGGCAACCUGCCCUAUAGUUGGGGAUAACUCCGGGAAACCGGGGCUAAUACCGAAUAAUACAUUUCUUCUCCUGAUGAAAUGUUGAAAGAUGGUUUACGCUAUCGCUAUAGGAUGGGCCCGCGGCGCAUUAGCUAGUUGGUGAGGUAACGGCUCACCAAGGCGACGAUGCGUAGCCGACCUGAGAGGGUGAUCGGCCACACUGGGACUGAGACACGGCCCAGACUCCUACGGGAGGCAGCAGUAGGGAAUCUUCCACAAUGGGCGAAAGCCUGAUGGAGCAACGCCGCGUGAGUGAAGAAGGUUUUCGGAUCGUAAAACUCUGUUGUAAGGGAAGAACAAGUACAGUAGUAACUGGCUGUACCUUGACGGUACCUUAUUAGAAAGCCACGGCUAACUACGUGCCAGCAGCCGCGGUAAUACGUAGGUGGCAAGCGUUGUCCGGAAUUAUUGGGCGUAAAGCGCGCGCAGGUGGUCCUUUAAGUCUGAUGUGAAAGCCCACGGCUCAACCGUGGAGGGUCAUUGGAAACU